UUGUGAUGAAACAUCCAGCUGGCACCAGUCCUAGAAAGACUUGUACUCUUUUUGCUGCGGAUUAGCUUUGCGUGGACAAAGUCCCAAUCUCUGAA
rnacentral:snoRNA from 1 species